AACCUCCGCGUCUGCUGAUUUGCCUUCACAGGCAUGUUCUUCAACAUGCGGGACAAACUCUCUCCUCACCUCCCCUGGAUAUGUGUCUCACACUGAAAUUCUACCCUUACCCAAAAGUCAGCAGCCUAGGGCACAGACAAAAAGAAAGCAGGUGAAGGAUCCUGACUGACACAACUGAAAAAGCAUGCAGUAGAAAUGGAACAUUAAAAGAGAAAAAACCGACUGAUGGGUAAAACAAGUAAUCAACAACAAAGAACAAGGAAAGACCAAAAAGAAACGAACCAAGGAGAAAACCCCAGUGUACAGCAGCUCUGAGGAGAGUGAUGUUCCCAUUCCACUUGAUGACACUUCAGAUGCUACGUUUCAUACA